rnacentral:tRNA from 1 species
GACCCGCUAGCUCAGUAGGUAGAGCAUCUGACUUUUAAUCAGAGGGUCAGGCGUUCGAGUCGCCUGCGGUCACCA